rnacentral:rRNA from 1 species
AUUAGAUAAAAAACCAACGCCCUUCGGGGCUCCUUGGUGAAUCAUAAUAACUUAACGAAUCGCAUGGCCUUGCGCCGGCGAUAAUUCAUUCAAAUUUCUGCCCUAUCAACUUUCGAUGGCAGGAUAGUGGCCUACCAUGGUGGCAACGGGUAACGGGGAAUUAGGGUUCGAUUCCGGAGAGGGAGCCUGAGAAACGGCUACCACAUCCAAGGAAGGCAGCAGGCGCGCAAAUUACCCAAUCCCGAUACGGGGAGGUAGUGACAAUAAAUACUGAUACGGGGCUCUUUUGGGUCUCGUAGUUGGGAUGAGAACAAUUUAAAUCCCUUAACGAGGAACAAUUGGAGGGCAAGUCUGGUGCCAGCAGCCGCGGUAAUUCCAGCUCCAAUAGCGUAUAUUAAAGUUGUUGCAGUUAAAAAGCUCGUAGUUGAACCUUGGGUCUGGCUGGCCGGUCCGCCUCACCGCGAGUACUGGUCCGGCUGGACCUUUCCUUCUGGGGAACCUCAUGGCCUUCACUGGC